GACGAACGCUGGCGGCGUGCUUAACACAUGCAAGUCGUACGGUAAGGCCCUUUCGGGGGUACACGCGUGGCGAACGGGUGAGUAACACGUGCGUAACCUGCCCACAACUUUGGGAUAACGCUAGGAAACUGGCGCUAAUAAUGGAUAUGUGCUCCUGCCGCAUGGAGGGGGUUGGAAAGAUCCGGCGGUUGUGGAUGGACUCGCGGCCGAUUAGUUUGUUGGUGGGGUGGUGGCUUACUAAGGAGGGGUUGGGUAGCCGGCCUGAGAGGGUGACCGGCCAAAUUGGGACUGAGAUACGGCCAAGACUCCUACGGGAGGAAGCAGUGGGGAAUAUUGCACAAUGGGCGGAAGCUGAUUCAGCAACGCCGCGGGCGGGAAGACGGCCUUCGGGUUGGAAACCGCUUUCAGCAGGGACGAAGCUUUGUGUGACGGUAACGGCAGAAGAAGCACCGGCUAACUACGUG
rnacentral:rRNA from 1 species